CUGCGUUCUGGGCCUGGGUCAGAUCUGGGAUCCCUCCCGCAUGCUGGCUUCCAGAACCUCCUCAGUUCUACCGAAAAUGAGAGGCCUCUGCUCCUUACCAGCAGCAUUUAUUAUCAUUACUGUCACUGCCUCUGGGCUGCUCUUUUGUGAGCAGCCAGCAUUUCUUGAGGAUUCACAUGCACCUGGUACUGUGCUCCAUUUUACAUGGAAUCCUUGUAGCAAAGCAAUGAGGGCAAUGAGGUCAGACCUAUGGUCACGCUCUAGCAAAUGAGGGUCAGAACCAGAUCGUGGCCAAAGGACACACAUCCCACCAAGGGGGUGGGACUUUCUGUUCCUAGCCCCUACCCCUUUCUCCCAUCACACGAGGGCUUGUUUCCCAGGUAAAUUUGUGUGUGUGUGUGUAUGCAUGUGUGUGUAGUGCUGGGGAUUGAACCCAGGGCCUUAUGCAUGCAAGGCAAGCACUCUACCAACUGAGCUAUAUCCCCAGCCUUCCCAGGUAAAUCUUGCUGCACACACAAGCUAGUCGCCCAAAGAAGGCAUCUACCUCUGAGGAUUCAAGUCAAAACCUUAUUUAUUGACAUCCUCAGGGAAGACCUGCACUGAAAACUCACAUUAACCCAACACAUAGGCGGCCGCACACGGGGCUAUUCUCUCAACCAGGCUGCUUGUUUAUCGGCAUGGAAAAAGGAACCUGGAUGGCAAGCCGACCAGGACACUCAAGUUGCCAGAACUGCAGUUGGUCCCCUAAACAGGAUAUACAGUUACAGGAUCCUGAGGAGGACGGUGGGUGUGGAAUCAGAGAC
rnacentral:lncRNA from 1 species